rnacentral:lncRNA from 1 species
GUGCUGGAUUCUUCAGCUGGGUUUUGUCAAGUACCUGCUGAAGAUCCUUCAUAAGGCAUCAGCCUGGAUUGGAUUAAUGGUCUCCACAGGAACCAGGAUCAGCAAAUUCUACCCCACUCAGUCUCCCACUAGGCCUGGAAACCUUGUGAAGAGGCACCAAGGGAGGGGAAUGAGCCUCCUCCUCUCUGUCCUCCCCAUCAGGAUCAAGAGCACCCUGGGCUACGGGCCAGCAGUCUGGGACCAGAGCAACAUGGCCAAGGAGAUCCUGGAAUCUCCGACCAACCCAUCUAACAAAGCAAACAAGAGGAAGCGAGACGAU